rnacentral:rRNA from 1 species
GACGAACGCUGGCGGCGUGCCUAAUACAUGCAAGUUGAACGCUUGAUUUUCACCGAAGCUUGCUUCGCCGAAAAUCAAGAGUAGCGAACGGGUGAGUAACGCGUGGGUAACCUACCUUUCAGCGGGGGAUAACUAUUGGAAACGAUAGCUAAUACCGCAUAACAAUGUUGGAUGCAUAUCCGACAUUUGAAAGUACCAACUGGUACACUGAGAGAUGGACCCGCGUUGUAUUAGCUAGUUGGUAGUGUAAUGGACUACCAAGGCGAUGAUACAUAGCCGACCUGAGAGGGUGAUCGGCCACAUUGGGACUGAGACACGGCCCAAACUCCUACGGGAGGCAGCAGUAGGGAAUCUUCGGCAAUGGACGAAAGUCUGACCGAGCAACGCCGCGUGAGUGAAGAAGGUUUUCGGAUCGUAAAACUCUGUUGUUAGAGAAGAACGUUGCAUAGAGUGGAAAAUUAUGCAAGUGACGGUAUCUAACCAGAAAGGGACGGCUAACUACGUGCCAGCAGCCGCGGUAAUACGUAGGUCCCGAGCGUUGUCCGGAUUUAUUGGGCGUAAAGCGAGCGCAGGUGGUUUAAUAAGUCUGAUGUAAAAGGCAGUGGCUCAACCAUUGUGUGCAUUGGAAACUGUUAGACUUGAGUGCAGUAGAGGAGAGUGGAAUUCCAUGUGUAGCGGUGAAAUGCGUAGAUAUAUGGAGGAACACCGGUGGCGAAAGCGGCUCUCUGGACUGUCACUGACACUGAGGCUCGAAAGCGUGGGUAGCAAACAGGAUUAGAUACCCUGUAGUCCACGCCGUA